UUAGGUUUUUUCCCCAAAACCUUCUCUCGUCCUCCUCUCCCAUCCUUCUCCCUCCCCCUUCACCUCCGACCUUCGCCCACCACCAAGCACUUCCACCACCGAACAGACCGCCACCCACGGCGCAACGACGCUCACCCACGGCACCAACUCGAAAUUCGGAGACGCCACCCAGCCACCACCGACGACGCCCACUAAGUUGGAGAAGAGACAUGGUUUGUUGCCGCAGACACAGAGUUAUUAUCAAUGAUAAUAAGGAGAAUGAAAAUGAGAAACACUUGAAGUUGCAUUGAGAAACUCUCGGAUUGUAACUUUUUGGUUGUUUGUACAUGAUGAAAAAAAGCAAAUUAUAUACCUCUCUUCAAGCUGAUUUUAUGUAAUACUUGAAAUUAUAAAGUUGAAUGUUUAUUGUC